rnacentral:lncRNA from 1 species
UCAGCAUUUAAGCCAGAGAAGUAUGUUAGGGGAGAAGGCAAAUAUUCCUGCUGAGCCAAUUUGUGAUCAAAUUGUAUCUUACCUGAGAUAUAGAAUAUUUAUUUCUACAAGUUAGCAGUCACUCUUUGGGAAAACCUUUCCCUAGGUCUACCUCAAAUAACAUACUGUGGCUCCAUCCCAACAUUUAGGGGCUUAAACAACAAAUAUGUAUUAUCUCACAGUUUCUAUGGGUCAGACACCUGAGCAUGACUUAGUUGAGUACCUAUGAGCAGGGGAUGGUCCCUGGAGGACGUUUUAGAGGCUUCCUACCACAUUCUCACAAAUCAAUGAGAAGAAACAAACAGCACAAUAGAAAAACGGACAAAUAAUUCAGCCCACACUUUAUGAAAUAAAAUAUCGCAAUUGUCAAUAAACAGAGGAAAUAGUACUCAUUAGUCAUGGCAGAAAUAAAAAUGAAAACCAAGAUGAAAUACUUCCACAUAACCAACAGACUAGCUAACAAUAAAAAGGCAGAACAUACACCAAGUGUGGGCAAGGAUGUGGGACAACUGGAAGUCUCAUACACAGCUGGUGGGAGUAUAAAUUUGUAUGAUCACCUUAUAAAACAAUUUGGCAGUAUUUAUUAAAGCUAAACACAUAUAUUUUAUGACCCAGCACUUCCAUACCUAGAAAAAUGCCUAACAAAAUUGCAUGUUUGUGUACACUCAAAAGAUGUGUGUAAGAAGAUUCAUAGCAGCUUUACUUAUAAUAACCAAAAACCUGAAAACCUCCCAAAUGUCUGUCAACAAUAGAAUAGAUGAAUAAAUUGCAAAUAAUCAUGCAAUCAAUUACAAUAAAGCAACAAAAAGCGAUAAACUACUGCUAUAUGUUAAUAAUAUGAAUGGAUCUCAUGAAAUAACAUUAAAUAAAGAAAUGAGCCAGAAAAAUACACAUCCUGUACAAUUGUAUUUAUAUAAAACUCAGAAACUGGCCAAACGAAUCCAUGAUGAGGGGAGUGUGGAAAGUGGUCUGUUUUUGUAGGACUCAAUGACUGCGAGGGAUCAAGGUGGAAGGGACUAGGGACCUGGUAAUGUCCUGUUUUCUUGAUACAGUGAUACGGGCCAUUAACUUUGUGAAAAUUCAAUGGCUAUAUACACUUAUGAUUAAUGCACUCUUCUGUAUGCAUAUAUUUCAAUAAAAUUUUUCCUAAAAAAAACUUUUUGACAAACUUUCUGCUGUGCUAUUCAGAAUGGCACCUGUGAAUAAACUUACUAAUAAAUAAAUU